rnacentral:rRNA from 1 species
AAUCUGAGGGAGCUUGCUCCCAAAGAUUAGCGGCGGACGGGUGAGUAACACGUGGGCAACCUGCCUGUAAGACUGGGAUAACUUCGGGAAGCCGGAGCUAAUACCGGAUAAUCCCUUUCCUCACAUGAGGAAAGGCUGAAAGACGGCGUCUAGCUGUCACUUACAGAUGGGCCCGCGGCGCAUUAGCUAGUUGGUGAGGUAACGGCUCACCAAGGCCACGAUGCGUAGCCGACCUGAGAGGGUGAUCGGCCACACUGGGACUGAGACACGGCCCAGACUCCUACGGGAGGCAGCAGUAGGGAAUCUUCCGCAAUGGACGAAAGUCUGACGGAGCAACGCCGCGUGAGCGAUGAAGGUUUUCGGAUCGUAAAACUCUGUUGUUAGGGAAGAACAAGUAUCGGAGUAACUGCCGGUACCUUGACGGUACCUAACCAGAAAGCCACGGCUAACUACGUGCCAGCAGCCGCGGUAAUACGUAGGUGGCAAGCGUUGUCCGGAAUUAUUGGGCGUAAAGCGCGCGCAGGUGGUUCCUUAAGUCUGAUGUGAAAGCCCACGGCUCAACCGUGGAGGGUCAUUGGAAACUGGGGAACUUGAGUGCAGAAGAGGAAAGUGGAAUUCCAAGUGUAGCGGUGAAAUGCGUAGAGAUUUGGAGGAACACCAGUGGCGAAGGCGACUU